GCCUCUGUGGCUGAGUGGUCAAGAACACUGACUCUUAACCUGGAGGUGCUGGGUUCGAAUCUCGGCGGGGGCA
rnacentral:tRNA from 1 species